rnacentral:rRNA from 1 species
UUUUAAAUGGCCGCAGUAUUUUGACUGUGCAAAGGUAGCAUAAUCAUUAGUUUUUUAAUUAAAAGCUUGUAUGAAAGGCUGGACGAGGUAAAAUCUGUCUCUAUCUAAAUUAUAGUAGAAUUUAACUUUUAAGUUAAAAGGCUUAAAUAUUAUUAAAAGACGAGAAGACCCUAUAGAUCUUUAUAGCUUAUUAAAUUAAAUUAAUUUAGAAAUAUUAAUGUUUUAUUUAACUAAGGUAUUUUAUUGGGGUAAUAAAAAGAUUAAAUAAAUUCUUUUUUAUAAUAAACAUUAAUUUAUGAAUAUUAAUGAUCCAGUUUUACUGAUUAUAAGAUUAAGUUACCUUAGGGAUAACAGCGUAAUUUUUUUAGAGAGUUCAUAUCGAUAAAAAAGUUUGCGACCUCGAUGUUGGAUUAAAGAUUAUUUUAGGUGUAGAAGCUUAAUAAUUUUGGUCUGUUCGACCAUUAAAUCUUUACAUGAUCUGAGUUCAGACCGGCGUAAGCCAGGUCGGUUUCUAUCUUUAAUAAAAUAAAAUAUUUUAGUACGAAAGGACCAAAUAUUUGAUAUAUUUAUAUUUAAUUUAUUGAAUAUUA